GCACUCGUAGCUCAGCUGGAUAGAGUAACGGACUUCGAAUCCGAAGGUCGCAGGUUCGAAUCCUGCCGAGUGCG
rnacentral:tRNA from 1 species